UCUUUUUUCUCCCGGCGCCAGAAUCCGGUUGGGUUGUUGUGAUUCCCUUUUGCAUUCCAAAACCUAACAUGAUAGAUAGGGAUCGAUCAACUUUGAUGCACGAUUCACAAAGCAACAGUGAAGCGGUGCAAGCCACCAACGAUGACGCCUCCGGCAGCACAUUGUUCGCACAUCUCCUUUUCUCUAGAAGCUGUUUUGUUUUUUUAAGCAUGUUUUUCCCGCGCAAAAAUGACAUACGGAUGUGAUAUUUUAUUACGUUUUUAUCAGUUUAUUAGAAUUGCUUCAUCCUUUCCACUUUUUUCUUUUUUUUUUUUCUGCCGGUGUUUAGAUUUUAAAACUAAUGAGUUUUGCAUCAUGUAUUCUUUCUGAAAUUUUAAGUGUGUAAAUACUUUCUUCUACUUCUUGGUUUUUUGCAUAGUUUGCUUUCUCUAGAUUGGCUUGUCAGAGGUGUUGUGAUAGAAGGAUGCAUUCAGACCUGGCAAGAUGGAUGUUGUAGAAGGGUAACCUAGAUGGUUCCUUUGGAGGAUUCUAAUGUGAAUAAGCGUAAGCACUAAUUUGGCUGAAUCUUGUCUCAUUAUUACUGAAUGGUUCUUUAGAGGCAUAAAAUGCUUUUGGUUUCUGAUGAAAUGUAACUCUGUAUUGUAUGUAAAAGAGAAUGUUGAUUAUUCAUGCAUGGCAUGCCAUGAUGCCAUGCUCAGAAAUUAAAACAUGUUUUUGAAAAAACAUUGAUUGGAUAAAUUGAUUUUCUUGGUUGACUAUCCAAUUGUUUUUCACCACAUACGAAUAUUGAUUGCAGUUCAUGCAUACUGAUCCAAUUCUAAAUGAAUGUUGAUCCCAAAUAGCAAUCUGAUUAUGUUUACCCUCCUGUUCGUUAAUGGUAAAAGUCAUGUACUAUGUACAUGUGACAUUGGUUCAGAUAACUUUCAUACUUGAAAUUUUUUUUUUCUCAUUUUUGCUCACUAUUGAAUUCAGAUUUUAAAUGAAUUGCAAUGUUAUUUACCAUUAGUAUUGUAUGAUAACUAUUUCAUCUGUAUAAACUGGCUGUUGGUCAUGUGUGCAAAAAGGGAUACAUCAAAGAUGACUACAUUCAUUUAUUUGUGAGAAACUCCAAUUAUUAAUUGAGGUGGGACUUAUGUUCUUGAAGGUAUUGACUUGUUUAAGUUCCUUGGUGCUUUUGUAUUGUUUGUGACUAUAUUACUUUGCUCGUUGGGCUGUUAUUUGGAAACUUCUGUUUCAGUUUCUUGAUGUAGAGAAGAAACCAGAUGAAGAUUGCCCUGUAAAGAAGCAGAUAUUAUCACUCGGAGCAGACUUUUAUGCAACAUAUUUUCAGUUGCACGUGCCAUCUUUUUUUUUGACAUUUAACAAAUGGAAAAUGAGCAGAAGAAACCAAAUUUGAGCAGUUGAGGUUGUGCUCUGUUGGGCAUUAAUGCUACAACAACGUUACUUGCAAAAGAAAAAUUAUUUCUAGACCAAGGAUGGGGCAGGUAUACAAUGUAAAUUUUUCUAGAAAAGGUCCUUUUCCUUUAAUUUUUAAACUUAUUACAGUGCAUCUGAUUGGUUAUUCAAUUUACAAUUCUGAAAAAACGUCUAAAUGAUGAUAAAUGGGUCAUCUAGGCAUGAAUAGUCUUAGAACUUACUAGACUAAACUAGAAAUGGUUGAGACUUUUGCAACUCUUGCUAUCAUAAUGAUUAUCAAUAUCAGAAAUGGUUCAUCAUGUAGUCUUAAUGUGUUUUUAUUCUACAUUAAUAUUCGUAAGUAAUACUUUUUUAUUUUUUCUUGGUAUCAGAAGUCUGUUGCCUGGGAUGAGUUAGAUCUGGAAGUUUGUCUAUAAAAUUUACAAUUGUUAGUGUUUUCUGAUGUUUUAAUGAUAAAGACUACUGAUUAAUAACAGUAGAAUUAUCUUAGCAAUAGCCUUGGGGCCUGAAAAAGUUAAAGAAUAACCUUCGUAAAACAAAUUUAUGGUAUUCUUGUGUAGUCAUCAUGGUCCUUUCUGUUGUGUCUGACUAGACUAAGAGUACAAUGAUAAACUGUUCAGAACAAAAAUAUUCUUCGGAUUGGGCAAUAUCUUUGUUAAAGUCAUGGUGAACAAACGUAAUGAUGAAAAUAACCAAAUUUCUUUGGUUGGGAAGGUGGUGGUCCCUCAUCAACUCUGCCUAAAUAAGCUUCAAUAAUAUUUGAUUUUUCUUCGAUCUCUUGGCUUCUUUUAAAGAAGAACUUUGCCUGGUUUUGUAUUCCUAUCAGCAUUUUAAUCUGUUGAAGGUACUAUGUUCUAUCUAUAUCUUAUGAUUGCCAUAUGAUGGAACGGCAGGAUACUAAAGUUCAUAUCUUCAUAUGUAAGGCAGUUUUUCCCUGAUCUUCUAUCACCUCUCCUCUUUCUAUCUACUUUAUGGUUGGUAGCCUGUUUCUUUCUUGUAAAUUUUGUCAAAAUAUACUAAGUGUUAGCACUUUACUGUUUAGGAUUGAACGGAUGGAAUUGUUUGAUGAAUUUGAAGAGUGGUAUAUGAUGCAGGAAAGUCAGCUUUUUAUAAAUAUUCUGUUGUUAAUUGUUUGCUAUAAAAAAUGUUUGUUGCACACAAUUACUGGGGCCCUGAGUGGGGAAUCUAGGCCAGAGUUAAUCAUCUCUCAUUUUAAGUGGGAAGUGAACUGUUUGUUUUUAUUUCUUCUUUUUAAAAUUCAUUGGUCAGAGAGGAAAAGUAAAUAAUAAAUUUAUAAUAGAGCAUAUUAGUAAAAGUAGCUGCGUGUAUUGUAUGGAAACGGAAUAGGGCAGCAUGUCAUUUAAAUCAAUACCGAAACAAAUGGACCAUGGGUAAUAUAUUUCUCUCCUGGAUUGGAAUUAGAGACCAAAGCACUUUUACUGAACCAUUUCUAGCAGUCUUAGAUUAAGAUGAUGAUGAUGAUGAGUGAAUAGAAAAUGUUAAUUUGAAAAAAGGGAUGUGCUGGGGGUGGGAAUUGGAUUCUGUUUCUGAAGAUGAUUCCAAACUAUAAAAAUAUAAUAUGGUACUCUAAGUUUUUAAGAGCUACACUGGACAAGCAUUGACUGACUUUCACCUUUCAUCCAUGACGCAGGGUCUAUUUGGAGAUUUUGGUUUUGUUAAUGACAACAAAAGUAGGUUUCCUUCCUCAUGAAAAACGAGGAUACAACACAUAUUUAUAUUAUAUUUCUCUUGUGGUGACUGUAACUGUUAAUACAGUCCAGGUAUCACGGUGGCAUGUGCCAGCUCACUGGUAUGUUGUCUGGCAAAAAGGUUUUCUGAUCAACUUGUUAGUUAUUGUAUCAGAUUUCAACCAUUCGAGUAAUUGGUAUUUUUGUAUAGAUCCCUUCAGAUAUUGUUUAUUUGAUGCAAAACACAUAUCCUUUACAUUUUCUGAUAGCUGUAUAGUAAAGAAAACGUGGUGGUGCCCACACAGCACCAACUGUUAAAGUCAUACUCUAGUGUGUGGGGAUGUCCAUGUGGAACAAAUACGAAAAUAGUGUG